rnacentral:rRNA from 1 species
UAAACGAUGUCUACUUGGAGGUUGUGGCCUUGAGCCGUGGGCUUUCGGAGCUAACGCGUUAAGUAGACCGCCUGGGGAGUACGGUCGCAAGAUUAAAACUCAAAUGAAUUGACGGGGGCCCGCACAAGCGGUGGAGCAUGUGGUUUAAUUCGAUGCAACGCGAAGAACCUUACCUACUCUUGACAUCCAGAGAAGCCAGCGGAGACGCAGGUGUGCCUUCGGGAACUCUGAGACAGGUGCUGCAUGGCUGUCGUCAGCUCGUGUUGUGAAAUGUUGGGUUAAGUCCCGCAACGAGCGCAACCCUUAUCCUUGUUUGCCAGCGAGUAAUGUCGGGAACUCCAGGGAGACUGCCGGUGAUAAACCGGAGGAAGGUGGGGACGACGUCAAGUCAUCAUGGCCCUUACGAGUAGGGCUACACACGUGCUACAAUGGCGCAUACAGAGGGCAGCAAGCUAGCGAUAGUGAGCGAAUCCCAAAAAGUGCGUCGUAGUCCGGAUUGGAGUCUGCAACUCGACUCCAUGAAGUCGGAAUCGCUAGUAAUCG